rnacentral:rRNA from 1 species
ACGGGUGAGUAAUGCAUCGGGAUCUACCUCAACGUGGGGGAUAACGUAGGGAAACUUACGCUAAUACCGCAUGCGUCCUACGGGAGAAAGCAGGGGACCUUCGGGCCUUGCGCGGUGAGACGAACCGAUGUUCGAUUAGCUAGUUGGUAGGGUAAUGGCCUACCAAGGCGACGAUCGAUAGCUGGUCUGAGAGGAUGAUCAGCCACACUGGAACUGAGACACGGUCCAGACUCCUACGGGAGGCAGCAGUGGGGAAUAUUGGACAAUGGGCGCAAGCCUGAUCCAGCAAUGCCGCGUGUGUGAAGAAGGCCCUCGGGUUGUAAAGCACUUUUAUCAGGAACGAAAUACCACGGGUUAAUACCCUAUGGGGCUGACGGUACCUGAGGAAUAAGCACCGGCUAACUUCGUGCCAGCAGCCGCGGUAAUACGAAGGGUGCAAGCGUUAAUCGGAAUUACUGGGCGUAAAGGGUGCGUAGGCGGUUGUUUAAGUCUGUCGUGAAAUCCCCGGGCUCAACCUGGGAAUGGCGAUGGAUACUGGACAGCUAGAGUGUGUCAGAGGAUGGUGGAAUUCCCGGUGU